CUGGAUAACUUUAGACAGGUUAACACUGGUUAACUUUAGAUUGGUUAACACUGGUUAACUUUAGACUGGUUAACACUGGUUAACUUUAGACUGGAUAACUUUAGACAGGUUAACACUGGUUAACUUUAGACUGGAUAACUUUAGACAGGUUAACACUGGUUAACUUUAGAUUGGUUAACACUGGUUAACUUUAGACUGGUUAACACUGGUUAACUUUAGACUGGAUAACUUUAGACAGGUUAACACUGGUUAACUUUAGACUGGAUAACUUUAGACAGGUUAACACUGGUUAACUUUAGACUGGAUAACUUUAGACAGGUUAACACUGGUUAACUUUAGAUUGGUUAACACUGGUUAACUUUAGACUGGUUAACACUGGUUAACUUUAGAUUGGUUAACACUGGUUAACUUUAGACUGGUUAACACUGGUUAACUUUAGACUGGAUAACUUUAGACAGGUUAACACUGGUUAACUUUAGAUUGGUUAACACUGGUUAACUUUAGACUGGUUAACACUGGUUAACUUUAGACUGGAUAACUUUAGACAGGUUAACACUGGUUAACUUUAGACUGGAUAACUUUAGACAGGUUAACACUGGUUAACUUUAGAUUGGUUAACACUGGUUAACUUUAGACUGGUUAACACUGGUUAACUUUAGAUUGGUUAACACUGGUUAACUUUAGACUGGUUAACACUGGUUAACUUUAGACUGGAUAACUUUAGACAGGUUAACACUGGUUAACUUUAGAUUGGUUAACACUGGUUAACUUUAGACUGGUUAACACUGGUUAACUUUAGACUGGAUAACUUUAGACAGGUUAACACUGGUUAACUUUAGAUUGGUUAACACUGGUUAACUUUAGACUGGUUAACACUGGUUAACUUUAGAUUGGUUAACACUGGUUAACUUUAGACUGGUUAACACUGGUUAACUUUAGAUUGGUUAACACUGGUUAACUUUAGACUGGUUAACACUGGUUAACUUUAGAUUGGUUAACACUGGUUAACUUUAGACUGGUUAACACUGGUUAACUUUAGAUUGGUUAACACUGGUUAACUUUAGACUGGUUAACACUGGUUAACUUUAGAUUGGUUAACACUGGUUAACUUUAGACUGGUUAACACUGGUUAACUUUAGAUUGGUUAACACUGGUUAACUUUAGACUGGUUAACACUGGUUAACUUUAGAUUGGUUAACACUGGUUAACUUUAGACUGGUUAACACUGGUUAACUUUAGAUUGGUUAACACUGGUUAACUUUAGACUGGUUAACACUGGUUAACUUUAGAUUGGUUAACACUGGUUAACUUUAGACUGGUUAACACUGGUUAACUUUAGACUGGAUAACUUUAGACAGGUUAACACUGGUUAACUUUAGAUUGGUUAACACUGGUUAACUUUAGACUGGUUAACACUGGUUAACUUUAGAUUGGUUAACACUGGUUAACUUUAGACUGGUUAACACUGGUUAACUUUAGAUUGGUUAACACUGGUUAACUUUAGACUGGAUAACUUUAGACAGGUUAACACUGGUUAACUUUAGAUUGGUUAACACUGGUUAACUUUAGAUUGGUUAACACUGGUUAACUUUAGACUGGUUAACACUGGUUAACUUUUGACUGUUAACUUUAGACAGGUUAACUUUAGACUGGUUAACAC